UGCUGGUUGCUGCUGGUUGCUGCUAGAUAAAAAAGUUGAGAAAUUAAACAAUGAAUAAAAAAAAUAUUUCUUGUCUCGUUCUCUUGAUCAGUCCAUAUCUGUCUAUCGUUAACAUUUCAGCAUCGCAUACAAAUAACUUGGUAAGUGAAACUCGUUUUUCAAUUCCUGAAAUUUUCUCUAUUUAUCAUGAUGACUUUAAGAAAGCUAAAAAAGAUAUUGAACCAAAUUUUGUGGAAAGCAAACCUUUGAUGGUUUUUUGAAGAGCAAUCUCUUUAAUUUUCUCAGGUCAUUCAAUCAUUUUGUUCCGAAAUCAGUUAUACAGUUUUAAUUACAAGAGAAUAUUUUAAUUCACAAUUAAAUGUCUAGUAAGUUGUUGGGAGAACGAAAGUUCAGCAGACUUCUACUUCACCAGUUUCAAGCACAUGAUGCAACUUGGAACUAAUAAAGGUUCCUCUGAUUUGGCGUUCCGAUUUGUACAGCAAGAUUGGUGCAGGAUUAGUGCAGGAUUGCUGUAGGUCAAGGCAGAUUUAUUGCCAAAUUAUUUUUUAGAAUGUUUUUGUUUUGAUAAGAGAAUUUCUGUUCUAAAGUUGUUUAUAUUUUGCCUUCUGAUGUAGCAUUAAUCUAAUAGCACUUUUAUCAAAUUUGCAAAUGCUUUUCUGUGCUUGCUGAAUUCUCUUUAAAUGCUGUCUUCUUUCGCAAUUUCAACCUUUUGCGAACUUUCUUCAUCUUACAAUAUCAAAAUCUCAAGGGAAAACAUGGAUCACAGCUCGAUAAUCAUGAAUUUGUGAGUAAAUAUUUUUCCUUAAUAUCUAAUCUAUCUAUGUUGCCUGCAAUUGAAACUGUGAAACCUGAUGAUAUUGAAUAUUUUUAGAAAAGAUUAAUAGAGAAAUAUUUUAGAUAAAUCCUGAAAAAUUUGGUUACUAAUGAUUUUGCAGUUCCAAAUCUACAUGACAGCGAGAUACGAUCCUUCAGAGCUUCGUGGUUACUGAAUAAUUAAAUAACUUUUGCUGGUAUACACUCUACAUUUAUUUCAAGUUAUUCUUUUCUCCAGUUCAUUCCAAUUUAAUUCAAGUUAUUCUUUAUUCGACAUUUCAAAAAUUUUCUAAACAAAUUUUUCAUUUCGAGAGUUUGGGCUUUUCAACUUUUUACUUUGUCUUGAUUUUGUUCACAAACUAAUCUGUCUUAAGUUUUUCAUGCUGUAAGAAGAAUACCUUUCUGGAGACCUAAAGCUCGGAAAAUUGCGAUGAAAAGUACGAAAGGAGCCUGAAUGAAAUCAAAAGGUAAGUUUUAUGCAGAUUAUUUUCAUUUUAGAAGUAUUUAGCAUCCCAUUGUACAACAUUUUUGUUUGCAUGCCAAAAACAUUUCUUGAAGCAACUUUGAUCAUCACUUUCUAGGUUAUAGGCCGACUAAAAAAUAAUGUAACAGGACAUGCAAAAUUUUCUGGUUUUCAAUUUCAAGUCUUGAAGAGAACUUUAGCUAUAUUUCAUUAUAGCAAUUAUUUUGCAAGAUAAUCUUAAAUCAGGGGGAAAAUUAAAGCAUAAAAAGAGUGUUCUGUGAUGAUAUAGAUUUUUUUACGAUUUUAUAGCUGGAUAUAGAGAACAAUUUCUAAUUUCCCUCACGCAAUAACUGUAGUUAAUAGCAACACUUUGCUGAAUUUGUCUGAAUAUUUUAAGAUUUCGGUGAGGUACUUCUCACAAAGAUAAUUAUAUAAUGAAUUUAAUGCUUAUGUUAAUUUUGUAUUUCGCACUUCUUAGUAAUUUCUUUUUCUUUUCAGGUAUGUCGUUAGUGCAAGACAGUUUUUGUAAUUUUUUACAACAUUUUAUCCAUUUGGGUUUUGAGCUCACCUUAGAGAAAACAUUGUUUUAGAAAGUUAUCAGAUAUCUUUAGUUUUAGAGUGCUAAUAUUUUCAAAGAAUGACACACGUUUUAUCUUCAAGACCAAAAAUCGGUACUGGUUGUUGCAUCAUGGUGCGAUACCUCAAGAAUGUAAUUUUAAAGACAGAGCAAAGUCUUGUGAACAAAAAUUUCACAUCAAAUUUCUAACAAAAAGAUGUGGUUUGUAACCAAAGAUUGUGAUUUUAUUGUGAAAAUACUGACACAGAAUUUGCGUCAAGAUACCAUGUUAUGGUGAGAACGGAACCGACGCUCUGACUCAAAACUGACGAUAGCUGAAAUCUAGGAUUAUAUAUACGGUGAGAAUCUUCCAUUUAAAAAUUUAUUUUUUGCUAUCCUCAAGGAACUGGAAUAAAAUGCAUAUAUGAUAAAUUUUUGCCGAAGUCCUUUGAAGAAGUUUGUCGCAGAUGAAAAAUUAUGGCCAUGAAACAAGUAUAGCCAUAAACUCAAAACAAGAUUGGCAAAUGCCUACUUUAUCAUGAGAGGCAAUAUCAGUGAAACGGAGUUGAGUCAAUACUUGAUACUUUAAGACAAAGUUUUCUUUAAAGUUUUCUCAGAGCAUUUAGAUUACAGCCUUUUACUAAGCAGUGAAACUUUUCAAAUAUACCAGCGCAAGUAUGCCAACAGUUGGGUUUUGUGUAUCAAAAAUCUCGUAAGAAUUUCAAAACUUUUUAAACUUUUGCAAACAGUCUCAGUGCAAAAUUAAAUCAUUUUGCAAAAAUAGUGUUUCUCUUUCCCUCAAAAUAAUGUUUCUUUUACUUACAAAAAUAUUAAAAACAUUCCUAGGCUAGAUAUUAGGUUAACAAACUAUGAACCAACAAAACUUGCAGUUGAUCAACCUUUGCAUUCGCUCUACGAAAGAUUGAGGUUGAAGUUCUGGUUGAGGUUGGUUGGUUGGAGUCGAUGGCUUGAGUUGUUUUGGCUUGGCUUCUGACGUUGGUUAGGGAACUGUUUAGUGAGGGUAGUUUGAGGGUUGACUGGGUCUUUGUUGUGGACUGACUGUGAAAGCAAAGGUUGAAAUACUGCAUAUUUUGGAAUGAUAGUUAAGAUAAGUAAAGAUCAAAUUCAUGGUUUGCUAGGAUAAAAAGCAAUUAUAGUUACUUCUGACUUUUAACAUGUAGCUUUUAGUAGGUCCUUUGAAUAUUUUGAAAACAGUAAAGAUGGAAAAUGGAUGUUUAUCGAACACUGCCUUUUAGAGUUCAAGCUCACAAUGUUUAUCGAACACUGCCUUUUAGAGUUCAAGCUCACAAUGUUUGAAUAUAGAAGGGAAAUAAUUUAAGUGUUAUUCAACUUGCAAAAAUAUCUUGAAAUUUAUAUAGGAUUCAUUUAUAAAGAUACGGUUAAAAGAUCCCUUUUAAUACAACUUUAAGCUUUCUGAUGUUCUUGCUUUUAAAAAGUAGGGAAAUUUUCAAAAAGCUGUGAAAUUCCCAAGAGAGUUGUUCAUUCAAAAAUACACGUGAGGCACAUAUCAUUCACUUAGAACAAUGGUGUCUUAAAGGCAAUAGUUCCGUAAUUCUAGUGUAUCACAAAUCUCCCAGCAAGCUUAAAAAGUCUGUCUUUUCUUUAGUGCAAAAAUUCGCGAAAAUGGCCGCAUGUUUAAAACAUUACGAUUAACAGGGACAAGAAAGUAGAAAGGGAUUUCUAGCAUACAUCUAGCAAAAAGGCAUCAUAAUAUUCUUAUAGAUGUAGCCAUAGGCAUAGGAACCGGGGGUACGUACUCCCCACACUUUUUAGAAAAUUAGGUCAAGUGCCCAUUUGCCGUUCUUGAAGAUGCUCUUUUUGCCUAAAUGUACUACCCCCUCUUCUAAAAUCACUCUUUCUUCUAAAGAUUUAGGUGGGUAGAUGUUGGCUUGCGUGGAAACCAAGGGUCCCUUGAGCAUCAAAGAUGCAAAGUUGCGUGGAGUUCCAUGCAUUUCAGCAACAAUGCGACCAAGAUACGCUUGAUUCCCUUUGUCGCUGGAUCAGCUUUAAUGUAAACAAGUUUAAUUUGAAAAUGUUUCAAGCUGCAAUCAUACACGUGGAAUAAAAAACUCAUGUUUACGUUACAACUUCAUCUUGAAUUAUUUUUUCGGUGGACUAUUUACUUCGAUAUUGCUGGCUUUUGCAUCCUUUUGCAGGUCCUCAAUUUGGUGGCGUCAAGGAUAUGAAGCAUUGCUACAUUUGAAGUCAAAGAAUUGAAGAUUCAUGAACAAUUCGUAGAGAAUGAACUUGGAAUCGUAUAAUAUUUAUCGUUGAUUAUGAUUAUUAGCCAGUAUUUUCUCGCACAUUUGGAAUAGAUGAAAUGAGAUCCCCUCCCAUUUUAAUGGCACUGUCCUAUGAUGCAAGAUUUGUUUGAUGCCAAAGAUUUGCUAAGUCGUAAUCUAUUGCUAUCCAAACCAUUCAACUUCGUGGAAUAAUGGAUCGCUCAUUAACAGAUAUCAAAUAUUGACCUUUAUGAUAUUUCAAGCCCUCCAUUACAAUAUUACAAGCCCUCCGUCGAGUUUCCCGUAGUAUCUGGUAAGUUUCUCUAGAUAAUUUUCAAUCAUAAGAUUGCAAUUGAUAUUAAUUUGCAAACGCUAACUGCACCCCCUUAUUCGUCCACGAAGCCCUUCGAAACUCCCUCGAUAGAUUUUAGGAUAUCCUCAGACAAGAAACUUUAAUAGUUUAGCAGCUUUAUAGGUAUAGAACUUCCCCGUCAACUUCAACCCGAAUUUUGCGAGAAAUAUCUCUGUUGUAGUGUUGUUUAAAGUAUUAUUUAAAGAAACCGGGGCUUGUUCUAUGAAUGGAUGUGGACAAGGCGCCUGUUCGCGUCUGUUUUUAGGAUAGCCCUUUCGUUUCUACUUAGUUUCGUUUGUAUUGUAGUUUAACUUAUUGUAAUUAAGCUUAGGAGACUGUUUUCAAUGUUGCGUAGGGGUUUUCGCACGGUGUUUUAAUCGAAGGGUCAACAAGAAGGCUUCAGUCUUCCUGCUUACUCCUUCGCUUAAAACACCAUGUUUGUAGAACCCCUAACACAACAUUGAACGGGUUUUCUUAGCACGGUGUUUUAAUCAAAGGGUUAACAAGGGGAAUUAUUUUCCUUCCUGUUAACUCUUUGCUUAAAACACCAUGCUAAGACAACCCCGUACGAAAACAGUCUCCGAUGUACUAAGGUAGAACUUAAAAUUGUACGUAGAGUAAGAUCGCUUGAAUGAAGAGGAGAAAAUCAAACUGAACUGCUUUCUAACCCCCGUCUUUCACCGCAUGCAAUCGAGGCUGAAAGCCCCCCGUCAUUCCAAAAUCAAAACGAGGCACGGCGGCUAAAAUAGGGGUAUCUGAUUGGCUAUAAAACAAUAGAAAAAACAAUGGGAAAAUUAAAGGCUGUGAUUGGUCAAAUAACAAUAGAAUACUAUAUUUUGAUUGGUGGAAAAAACAAUAAACCGGGGCCAAAAUACUGCUCUCUGAUUGGUCAAUUGACAAUGGUGGCCCUCGGCGGCCAAAGGCUACUGUGAAAUAUUAAUAUCUGCAGGUGACGGCUCUUGCCCGCAGCCACCAAAAGGGCUGAAAUAGAGCAAUUUGAUUGGCUAAAAACAAUGACCUGUCAAUCAUUCGCGGCUCUCAGCCGCCAUUUGACCAGCCUCCUGACGCGGGCAAAUUUUCUGCAGAAGACAAUAGAAAUCCGGGGGAAUUUGCUCAGAAAUUCUUAGCUAAUCUAACGUUGAUUUCUAAAGAAAUUUGAAAAGAAGAACGGGGGGAUGUCUUUUGAAUUUCUAUUGAUAACCUCUAAGACUUCCAUAGAGAUACUUAUUGAAAUGCCGAAAGUUUCCAGGCUCCACACAAAAGAAACAUGUAGGAAAUACAAUGUGACAUUGUCAUCAAGUUCAUUUUUAUCGAAGGCAAUUUCAAAAGAAAUCUAAGGUAAAUACAAUAGAAUUUGAGAAGGUAUACAAUAGAAUAACGGGGGGAAAUUCAAAAGAAUUUAAGAUGAAGUACAAAAGAAUACGGGGGGAAAUUCAAUAGAAUUUCAGAGUAAAUACAAUAGAAAACGGGGGGAAAACAAUACAAUUUAAGAUGAAAUACAAAAGAAUACGGGGGAGAAUUCAAUAGAAUUUCAGGGAGAAUACAAUAGAAAACGGGGGGGAAGACAAUAGAAUAUAAGAUGAAAUACAAAAGAAUACGGGGGAGAAUUCAAUAGAAUUUCAAGGGAAAUACAAUAGAAAACGGGGGGAAAACAAUACAAUUUGAGAUGAAAUACAAAAGAAUACGGGGGAGAAUUCAAUAGAAUUUCAGGAAGAAUACAAUAGAAAACGGGGGGAAGACAAUAGAAUAUAAGAUGAAAUACAAAAGAAUACGGGGGAGAAUUCAAUAGAAUUUCAUAGGAAAUACAAUAGAAAACGGGGGGAAAACAAUACAAUUUAAGAUGAAAUACAAAAGAAUACGGGGGAGAAUUCAAUAGAAUUUCAGGGAGAAUACAAUAGAAAACGGGGGGGAAGACAAUAGAAUAUAAGAUGAAAUACAAAAGAAUACGGGGGAGAAUUCAAUAGAAUUUCAAGGGAAAUACAAUAGAAAACGGGGGGAAAACAAUACAAUUUGAGAUGAAAUACAAAAGAAUACGGGGGAGAAUUCAAUAGAAUUUCAGGAAGAAUACAAUAGAAAACGGGGGGAAGACAAUAGAAUAUAAGAUGAAAUACAAAAGAAUACGGGGGAGAAUUCAAUAGAAUUUCAUAGGAAAUACAAUAGAAAACGGGGGGAAAACAAUACAAUUUAAGAUGAAAUACAAAAGAAUACGGGGGAGAAUUCAAUAGAAUUUCAGGGUAAAUACAAUAGAAAACGGGGGAAGAUUCUAAAGAAUUACAGAUAUUUUAGAUUAAAUCCAACAGAAGCUCGGGGGGAAUCUAAUGGCAGCCGUUUAGUAUAUUGUAAAUCGUAGCGUUAUAGUAUAAUUUGGCGGAUAAGUUUUGAUAAAACUUGCAAAUAUAAAGAAAAUCAAUUAAGAGUAAAGUCAAUAAGAAUUAUAAUCUACAUGUCUUACAGUUCUUGAAAAUAUUGAGAAUGUUCGACUUGCUUCGUGAGUUGUGCAGUCGUGGUUAGUCUCGUGAGUUGUGCAGCCUUCGCUGAUUUGAAAAGCGAGUUGUCAAAGUCUUCAAAAACUAGCAAAGAAAAAAUCAAACAGACCUUGAGAAUAUUAAAUAUUCUAUAUUUUAGCUUAUCAAUUUACAUUUGUUAAAGCCCAAGUUGAUGUUUACAAAGCGGGGCGCGGGGGUUCGUCUGCUAGCGGAUUCCAGCGAACCGUGAGCAGAAUCUUGCAAUAUAUAUUUAUAAUAAAUCAAAUGUCAAUGUCC